UUUUACAACCUCCGUCAUCUUUGCGACAGGUCCAACGGAAGGCGUGGUCCAUCUUCAUCAGGAGCGUUCUCUACCAGUCUGUCAACAGGUCAUGCAUGACUCAAGACCGAGUUUGCAUUACAUUACGCGGUCCCACGCCAUCACAAACAACAAUGCGACGUAAAAUACUCCCCAUAAAAGGAACGGCUGCGACUACACACGAAAAUUACUCGCACUUGUUUACAUUUCCACCUGCACGGCAAAUUUUAAGUGACCGCCAGCCAAACUUCUAAGCUGCAUGAUUUAAAACCAUAAGAAUGCGUUUCAUACAGGCUGCACUGGAAGAAUAUGGCUUGUUGACUUACCAGGAAAGCGCAAAAUCGACGUCUCAACGGACAACCAACUUUUGACGAAAACAAUACUAGGAGCACAAAGUUGUAUCACUCGAUUUGUUUGCCACACACACUUCCAGCUUCAUGGAACCGCCUCAAUGCUUCCGGUAGAAAUAGGAAGUAGGAAGCAUGUCUUCCGCUGUUUCCUUUUAGAUUAAAAUGCAAUGUAGUCAUGUGGUGCGUAUUGUGGCAAAAAUAGUGUGCUGGGCACAAAAAUGUCCAAUUUGACGAAGUACUCUUUGCUGUGAAAGAAAUAACUAUAAUCCCUGAAUGGUGCAUUAGGUGCUCCCAAAAUGCUUUUAUUGUGAAAGAAACUUUGACGACUGUCAGUUCUGGUCCAGUCAAAAAUCAUUAAAGAUUUUUUGUUGUUUUAAGUGCACUAAUGCAUUAAUCCUGUAAAUGUGUAAACAAGUCAAUUGAAUCCUCGCAACUCAGUAUUAAAUCAUAUGUAAUUAGUUUCAUAUGAUGGCACAGCAGAGAACAAAACAAGUGGCAUGACAUCAACACGUGGGUCAAUCUGUAGCUUUAUUCAGUGUUACUUACAAUUGACCACAAAUUAGCAGAAUGAAUGGUUCACACACGUGCCUCACAGUCAAGAGGUCCAAAACCAUGCAUCUAAUGGUACGUUUACAAUAUGUUCCCGUUUGUUCCAUUAUUGAAGUUUGUUUUAUCCCCUAAAAUUGACUGGUCAAAAUGCUUAUUUACUUCUUUUUUUAAUUAUAACUUCUUAGUUGAAGUACUGAAAAUAAUUAAAAUACUACUAAAACAAUUGAACUGACUCAUUAAUAAUUAAAUUGUAAGUAAAACUAAAAUGAGCAUAUACUGUAUUAAAUUUCACAGAUUUACAUAAAAUACAAACACUAAAAUUAGCAUUUUUACAUUUUUCACUGAUUAAAUAACUGGCUAAUCAAUUCAUCCACUUUAGCAUGAACACUUGUUGCCGUAGUUGGCUUGACCCUUUGACAGUGUACACUAUAUAAAUGGUUACCUGAGGCAGAAAAAUGCCUUAAGCAUUUUCUUUUUAGUCUGAGGUGCUCCAAUUACUCUAGGACCUGUUUCAGCCCUACUUUAGUGUGAAGCAGUAUUCAUGCAUGAAAA